AACGCACCUUGCGCUCCUUGGUAUUCCGAGGAGCAUGCCUGUUUGAGUGUCAUUAAUAUAUAUAUAUAUCAACCCCCUCUUGUUGAGCGGUUUGGAUGUGGAGGUUUUUGCUGGCCGCCUAGAAAGGGUUCAGCUCCUCUGAAAUACAUUAGCGGAACAAACCUGUCCAUUCAUUGGUGUGAUAACUAUCUACGCUAUUGAAUGUGAGGCAGUUCAGCUUUCUAACGGUCCUUUGGACAACCUAUCAUUUUUAUGUGACCUCAAAUCAGGUAGGACUACCCGCUGAACUUAA
rnacentral:misc_RNA from 1 species